GGGCCUAUAGCUCAGCUGGUUAGAGCGCACGCCUGAUAAGCGUGAGGUCGGUGGUUAGAGUCCACUUAGGCCCACCA
rnacentral:tRNA from 1 species